UUCGUCCGAGACACGGCAACAAAACUCUAUCCCGCAUGGUAAAUUUCGGGUACCGGAGUUCUCUCUCACUCUUAUCAUCCUUCCAUUAAUGUGUUAAUAUGUCGUGCGAGGGGAAUAUGUAUAGAUGUGUGAUGAUUCCGAUUUCCUAGUGGACAAGUGCUGUAUUGGAUGUGGCUAUGCCUAUUUGUAUGUGUGGCUUUGUCUAUAGUUGAGUUCAAUAUGUAGUACCGUACAAGUUAAAUUAUUUGAUUGCAGUGAUCUUGGAUUCCUAUAAUUUUCUAGUGGCUCUACUUUACCUGCCUUCUUUCACCUGCUCCUAUCUUCUUUCCAGUGAUCUUGGAUUCCUAUAAUUUUCUAGUGGCUCUAAUUUACUUGCCUCCUUUCACCUGCUGCUAUUUUCUUUUCAGUGAUCUUGGAUUCCUAUAAUUUCCCAGUGGUUCUACUUUACCUGGCUCAUUCCACCUGCUGCUAUCUUCUAUGCAGUGAUCUUGGAUUCCUAUAAUUUUCUAGUGACUUUACUUUACCUAGCUCAUUCCACCUGCUACUAUCUUCUUUGAAGGUGAGUCUACUUCUGAUGUAGGUCCUCUAGAUCCGUAGAAGGGGGUGUGAUAGUGGUGGCCCGGGUUGAUGAUUGACUUAUGUUUUGAGCUUUAGAUUUUUUUUUAUGUGAUUUGGAUAUAUAUUUAUGUAUUAUGAAAUUGUGUCUCUGGAUUGAUGUCAGAUGAUCAGGAGGGUGCUCCAGAUUAUUGGGACUCUUGUGUCGAGUAGUAAGGAGGUGGUUGUGGGCUCUGAGGGUUUUGAUUUAGAUUAUGUUGUAUAUAUGAUAUCUUGAAAUUUUUUUUACGUUUGCAAGGAGGCAUUCUCCAAUUUAUGGGGAGAUGUUGUCCGAUUUUCUGCUUGAUUUAUUCUUGUGUGUGGUGUUGUUGUGUCAUUUUCUCAUUUUUCUCACGCUCCGAGGGUCGGGGCGUGACAUUUCAUCCCUUGCAAGAAGACCUUGGAUGCCUCACAUAUUGCACAACUAUUCUUUCGAGAUGUAGCUCGUUUGCAUGGCCUUCCCAAGACUAUAGUCUCCCAUCGAGAUAGCAAGUUUUUAAGCCAUUUUUGGCGAACCUUGUGGAAGAUUGCUUCUAGUUCAGACCUUGUCAGCAUCGGCACAUCAGCUCCGUUGAAGAUUUGCUCGACUUGAUAAUUUCCUUAAUUUUUAUCCUUGUUAUCUUUAUUAGUCCUU